GAUGAACGCUGGCGGCGUGCCUAAUACAUGCAAGUCGAGCGAACAGACGAGGAGCUUGCUCCUCUGACGUUAGCGGCGGACGGGUGAGUAACACGUGGAUAACCUACCUAUAAGACUGGGAUAACUUCGGGAAACCGGAGCUAAUACCGGAUAAUAUAUUGAACCGCAUGGUUCAAUAGUGAAAGACGGUUUUGCUGUCACUUAUAGAUGGAUCCGCGCCGCAUUAGCUAGUUGGUAAGGUAACGGCUUACCAAGGCAACGAUGCGUAGCCGACCUGAGAGGGUGAACGGCCACACUGGAACUUAGACACGGUCCAGACUCCUACGGGAGGCAGCAGUAGGGAAUCUUCCGCAAUGGGCGAAAGCCUGACGGAGCAACGCCGCGUGAGUGAUGAAGGUCUUCGGAUCGUAAAACUCUGUUAUUAGGGAAGAACAAAUGUGUAAGUAACUAUGCACGUCUUGACGGUACCUAAUCAGAAAGCCACGGCUAACUACGUG
rnacentral:rRNA from 1 species